rnacentral:rRNA from 1 species
GACGAACCGUGCGAACGUUAUUCGGAUUCACUGGGCCUAAAGGGCGCGUAGGCGGCUCCGCGAGUCGGGGGUGAAAUCUUUCAGCCCAACUGGAAGAGGGCCUCCGAGACCGCGGGACUCGAGGGGGAUAGGGGUGCGCGGAACUUCCGGUGGAGCGGUGAAAUGCGUAGAUAUCGGGAAGAAUACCGGUGGCGAAGGCGUUCUGCUGGGCCGUUGCUGACGCUGAGGCGCGACAGCGUGGGUAGCAAACAGG